AUAUUGCGCAAUGGGGGAAACCCUGACGCAGCGACGCCGCGUGGGUGAGGAAGUCCUUCGGGAUGUAAAGCCCUUUUCACCGGGACGAGAACGGACGGUACCGGUGGAAUAAGCCCCGGCUAACUACGUGCCAGCAGCCGCGGUAAUACGUAGGGGGCAAGCGUUGUCCGGAUUUACUGGGCGUAAAGAGCGCGUAGGCGGAAGCUUAAGCGUGGCCUGAAAGCCCCCGGCUUAACCGGGGAGGGUGGCUGCGAACUGGGCUUCUUGAGGUCGAUAGAGGAGAGCGGAAUUCCUGGUGUAGCGGUGAAAUGCGUAGAUAUCAGGAGGAACACCGGUGGCGAAGGCGGCUCUCUGGGUCGGACCUGACGCUGAGGCGCGAAAGCGUGGGGAGCGAAC
rnacentral:rRNA from 1 species